AAUACUGUGAAUUCCAUAGGUUCUCAGAAGGGUGUUCUAGUAUCUUAGUAUUCUAGAGUUUGGAAUGAAUCAAACAGCUAGCACCAUAUCAAUGCCUUCAUGCCCAGAGGAAGAAGGGAUGACUUCCAGAAGUAACCUUCAAGACCCCAGAGGCAAAGACUCAUCAUGCUACCUUUGGAUGUAAACUUGGUGGGACACGUGCUACAUAGGAACUGAACCAACUUUUAAGCCUACUGUCUUCAGAGACCAGAAAUAGGCUCUUUUUCUAGAAGGCAUAAUCAUUAAAAUAUCCCAUAUGAACCAACCAGGAAACAAGAAAUGGAAAUCUGAAUCAUCCCUCAGUGAGCAAUGGAACAGAUCUUAGAUAAAUGCUGCAAAGACAGAAGGGUAAACUAAUAGCUAUAGUUCCCUGGAUCUGAGCAAGGCAUUUUACAGGUUUCUUCUGAUAUCUUUAUGGAAAAUGUGAAGCUGAGAGUGGAUUUAGGACAGGCUGAACAAUCAAGAAUCAAUGAACAAUAAAGGAUGGAAUUUCCAAUAAGCCACAUAAUAUAUGAGGACCUGCUCACUCUAGAAGUGAUGGUAAAGGCAAGCUACCUGGAAUCUCAUGCACACCCUGAAAAAUUUGGAGAUUUUGUUUAUGAGCUACAUGUCAAGAAUCACUGGAAUGGAAAAAAAAAAAGUCAUCUUUAUAGUCUUCGGGGCCUAAACAAUAAGAUUUCAUUUAUGUAGGGCAAUUCAAGAAAAUGGUUUUAUCUAAAGCAAAAAGAUUUUUUUUUAAACUACAGAUUAAAGAGCAUUCUUAUAACAUAAAAGGUGUCAACUCUUUUUGAAAGAACUGAGUCAUAACACAUAAAUUAAGAAACAAAGAAGAUGAAUUAUGCAAUUAUU